rnacentral:lncRNA from 1 species
GCUCCUUUCCUCUGCUGACACCUCAACAGGCCACCUCCCACCACUCUUUCCACUAACCUGCUCUCUCCAUCAGACAGCCUCCUUGUUUCCUUGUCUUCUCUUCAGGCUGACAACCAGCCCAGCCAAAUGGGCCUCCAUGAAGUGCUUGCUGUGGCUGCCCUCUGUGCCUUUGGACACGCAGCCUUGAAGCAGCCUCAGAGCUCCAUCACUGCAUAUGUGGGCACAACAGCACGCGUAAUCUGUGAGGUGUCCAGCAGCAACUUUGCCGAUACGUACAUACACUGGUACCAACAGAAACCAAACCAGCCUUUAGAGCAUCUUCUCUAUGUCGUAUUGACCCGGGUCCCCACCAAAAAAUCAUUAGAUGAUCAAAAGAACAAAUUUGUGGGGGAAAAGAAUGAUGCUCAGAGCACCUCAGUCCUGGCAAUAAACUCCAUAACACAUAAGGACGAGGCCACCUAUUACUGUGCCAUCUGGGAAUACCACAGCAAUGAACACUCCGUGACCCCACAUACAAGAAUCCUGCCCUCAUCAGUCCCUCCCCACAUCCUCUUCCAAAGGGGCCACCUCCUCCUCCAUUCUGGCUCCCAUCCUCAGCCUGCCUGCAGCACUUCCUCCUGCAUUUCUUCUCAAGCCAACAUGGCCCCUGUCCACAGCUGAGCACAUUUCUUCUCCAACUCAUAGAGUUUCCAACCUUCUUUCAUCACCAUCAGCAUCAUUCACACGUCUCAAAGGCUUUAAGGUUCUCACUGGGUUUAUGAGUUGGACUAGAUUGCUGCUGAGAUUCCUUUCAACAGUCAGAUUAUGUCAUUCUAUUUUUUAGCAGAGAGUUUUACAUUUUAUCAUGUUUCUUCACCCUCUCCAGCAUCCUCUGGAAUAGGUUCUCUGCAUUCCCAUUUACCAGAGUCUGAGAAACCAAGAGAGAUUAAGUGACUUACCUAGCAUUACCUAGAGAGCAAGUACCAGAGGCAGAAUUUGAACCCAGAUAGUCUUGUACCAAAGUUGGUAGUUGGAUCCACUAUUCCUCAUGAGAAAAGAAGAGAAAUGUGAAG